UACAGAGGUCCCAAGCGUUGUUCGGAUUCACUGGGCGUAAAGGGUGCGUAGGUGGUGAGGUAAGUCGGAUGUGAAAUCUCGGAGCUCAACUCCGAAAUGGCAUUGGAAACUACCUUGCUCGAGGGAUGGAGGGGGGACUGGAAUUCUCGGUGUAGCAGUGAAAUGCGUAGAUAUCGAGAGGAAUACCAGUGGCGAAGGCGAGUCCCUGGACAUCUCCUGACACUGAGGCACGAAAGCUAGGGGAGCAAACAGG
rnacentral:rRNA from 1 species